rnacentral:rRNA from 1 species
UACAGAGGUCUCAAGCGUUGUUCGGAUUCAUUGGGCGUAAAGGGUGCGUAGGCGGCGCGGUAAGUCGGGUGUGAAAUCUCGGGGCUCAACCCCGAAACUGCACUUGAUACUGCGAUGCUCGAGUACUGGAGAGGAGAUUGGAAUUUACGGUGUAGCAGUGAAAUGCGUAGAUAUCGUAAGGAAGACCAGUGGCGAAGGCGAAUCUCUGGACAGUUACUGACACUGAGGCACGAAGGCCAGGGGAGCAAACGGG